ACUCCUACGGGAGGCAGCAGUGGGGAAUAUUGCACAAUGGGCGCAAGCCUGAUGCAGCCAUGCCGCGUGUGUGAAGAAGGCCUUCGGGUUGUAAAGCACUUUCAGUCGUGAGGAAGGUAGUGUAGUUAAUAGCUGCAGUAUUUGUACGUUAGCGACAGAAGAAGCACCGGCUAACUCCGUGCCAGCAGCCGCGGUAAUACGGAGGGUGCGAGCGUUAAUCGGAAUUACUGGGCGUAAAGCGCAUGCAGGUGGUUGUUAAGUCAGAUGUGAAAGCCCGGGGCUCAACCUCGGAAUAGCAUUUGAAACUGGCAGACUAGAGUACUGUAGAGGGGGUAGGAAUUUCAGGUGUAGCGGUGAAAUGCGUAGAGAUCUGAAGGAAUACCGGUGGCGAAGCGGCCCCUGGACAGAUACUGACACUCAGAUGCGAAAGCGUGGGAGCAAACAGGAUUAGAUA
rnacentral:rRNA from 1 species